GCCAGUGUGGCGUAGUGGUUUAUGUGCUGGACUAUGACUCUGGAGACCAGGCUUCAAUUCCCAGCUCGGCCA
rnacentral:tRNA from 1 species